rnacentral:rRNA from 1 species
UGGGGAAUAUUGGACAAUGGGGGGAACCCUGAUCCAGCCAUGCCGCGUGUGUGAAGAAGGCCUUAUGGUUGUAAAGCACUUUAAGCGAGGAGGAGGGUACUGGUAUUAAUACUACCAGGUACUGGACGUUACUCGCAGAAUAAGCACCGGCUAACUCUGUGCCAGCAGCCGCGGUAAUACAGAGGGUGCGAGCGUUAAUCGGAUUUACUGGGCGUAAAGCGUGCGUAGGCGGCUAAUUGAGUCGGAUGUGAAAUCCCCGAGCUUAACUUGGGAAUUGCAUUCGAUACUGGUUAGCUAGAGUGUGGGAGAGGAUGGUAGAAUUCCAGGUGUAGCGGUGAAAUGCGUAGAGAUCUGGAGGAAUAUCGAUGGCGAAGGCAGCCAUCUGGCCUAACACUGACGCUGAGGUACGAAAGCAUGGGGAGCAAACAGG